AUAAAAAUUUUUUUAAAGAGUAUAGUCACCCUGCAGUCUUAAAUAAACUAAGGAUAAUUAUUUAGAAAACAAAUACUUACCUUUCUUGAAUUUAUGUACAGGAAGUUUCUUAAGUUGAUCUUUACGAAGUCUGUUUCUUCUAGCUCUAUGUCUAUCCUGGACAAAUUUUGUGAUCUAAAAAUAAAAGAGUAAAAAAAGGAGUCAGAUAUUAAAUGUGCAAAGAGAAAGUGACCAUUAAAAUAACAAAUAUCUUUUAAGUUUCUGGAUAGCUACUGCAAAUCAAUUCAAUUCAUUUAAAUUCUAAUUGCAAUAGUAUUGUUAAUUAAAGCAUUAAAUUACAUUAGUGAUUAGUUAACCCAUGAAUUACCCCUUGAAUUUUUUAUUAAUUGAUCUUGAUUAUCUUUGAAUUACCUACGGAGACAUUAUAAAAAUCAUAUAACUGUUUGCUUGCAAAAAUACAAAUGGUAAACUAUAGAUUUUAUAAAGACUCCAAUGGGUAAAAAAAAAAAAAAAAAAAGAAUGGGAAGGUUGAUAUUCCUAUAUAUUACAAACUGAUAAAAAUUUCAAACAUACACUUAUUAGUUACUACAGAAUAACAGGCAGAAAUAAUGCAGAACACCUUCACUACAAAUAUUCAGAAAUGCCGGAUAAAAUGUACAAAAUAUUUUAAACUAUAAAUUGCUAUGCUUGCAAGAAUAAAAAGAAAGUACACAGGGCCAAAAACCAAAUACCAAAAACACCCUCUGUAAAGGAAAAAUUUGACUAUGUCAAAGUUAAGAACUUCUCUGCUUAAAAGGCACUGUUAAAAAAAUAAAAGACAACUGAAGUGGGAGGACUGUUUGAGGCCAGGAAAUCAAGACCAGCCUGGGCAACAUAGUGAGACCCCAUCUCUAAAAAGAAAAAAAUUAGCCUGGCGCAUUGCCGUGUGCCUGUAGUUCCAGCUACUUGGGCGGCUGAAGUGUGAGAAUCAUUUGAGCCCAGGAUGUCAAGGCUGCAGUGACUCAUGUUUGUGCCACUGUACUCCAGCCUGCACAACAGAGUGAGGGCCUGUCUCCAAAACAUAAAUAAGUAAAUGAAUACAUAAAUAAAAUUUAAAAAUGAAAAAUACAGAUGAGCCACAGACUGAAAUAAAAUAUUUGCAAAUUGUAUACAAGAUAAGGGAUUUGUAUCCAGAAUAUAUAUAAAAACCUCUCAAAACUCAAUAAUAAGAAAACAAGUUACCCAACAGAAAAUGGACAAAAUAUUUGAAGAUACUUCACUAUACAAGACAAACAGCAAAUAAGCUCUUGAAGAGAUGUGCAAUGUCUACUAGUAGUCAAUAGGAAAACAAAAAUUCAAAUCAUAAAUACUAUAAUACAAUAUACCUAUUAGGGUGACUAAAAUGUAAAACACUGACUAUACCAAGCGUUGGCACGGAAGUGGAGGGACUGGCACUCUCAUACACUUUCUGGUGGGAUUGUAAAAUGGUACAACCACUUUGGAAAAGAGCUUGGCAAUUUCUUAUGAAUCUAAACACACAUUUAUCCUGUGACCCAACUGUCCUGCUCCUAGAUAUACUUACCCAAUAGAAAUGAAAGCAUAUUUCCAUACAACAAAUGUCCAUGUCAGCUUUAUUUGUAAUAGCCAAAAACUAGAAACAACCCAAAUGUUGAUCAAUAGGUAAAUGGGUAAACAAAUCAUGGUAUAUUCACACAAUGGAAUAUAUCUCAGCAAUAAAAAGGAAUGAACAAUCCAUGCACUCAAUAACAUAUACAAAUCUCAAAAUAAUUACGGUGACAGAAAGAAGACAGACACAAAAGAGUACAGACUUUAUGAUUCCAUUUAUAUAAAGCUGUAGAAAAUGCAAAGUAAUCUAUAGUGACUAAAAUCAGAUUUGUAGUUGUCUGGGCAUGGAGAAGGGUAGUGAGGGGAGGAUGAAGGAAAAGUUGGAAGGGGUAGAAGGAAGGCAUUGCCAAACUUUUUAGGGUGGUUAAUAUUUCAUUAUCUUGAUUGUGGUGGUGGUGGUUUCGCAGGUAUACACAUACAUAUCUGUUACAUAUGGAUGAUAUAUGUGAUAUACAUAUGCAUAAGUGAUAUAUAUGCUUAUAAACCUACAUCAAAACUUACCAAAGUGUACAAUUUAAAUAUGUGUAAUUUAUUAUAUCAAAUCAUACCUCCAUAAAUUUUUUUAAAGUUUAAUGGUAACCACUAAAAGAACAGCAAUAUAAUGCAAAUGUUCAUAUCAAUAGGAAAAAGAAAGUAAAAGUUAUUAUUGCAAAUUUACACAGAAGAAAAUACAGAAUAAAAAGUAAACAAUAGAAAUUAAUCCAAAUACAUGUGUGAUCACAAUAUAUGUUAAAUGGAUUAAAUCCACCGUUUUCAAAAGGAGUGUAUCACAUUGUAUAAGAAAAAAAUUCCGAUCAUAUGCUAUUUACAAGACACAAGAUUAAAACUGAAUGAUACAUUAGGACAAAAAUAAAAGUAAAAAAUAAAGGGAUAGGACCAGGUGCAGUGGCUCACACCUGUAAUUCCAGUGCUUUGGGAGGCCAAGGCUGAAGGACUGCUUGAGCCCAGGAGUUUGAGACUAGCCUAAGCAACACAGAGAGGCCCCAUCUCUACAAAAAAAAAAAAAAAACAAUUAGCUGGGCAUGGUGAUGUGCGCCUCUAGUCCCAGCUACUUGGGAGGCUGAGGUGGGAGGAUCACUUGAGGUUAUAGUGAGCUAUGAUUGUGCCACUGUACUCCAGCCUGGGUGAUAGAGCAAGACCCUGCAUAAAAUAACCAAAUUAACAUACAAAAUAAAAUAAAGGGAUAAAGAUCUACCAUGAAAAUAUUAAGCAAAAGAAAAGCUAGAAUAUCAAGCAAUAGAAUUUAAGGCAAAAAGCAUCAUUAGGAGAGUCAUGACAACAAUAAAAACAACACCUCAUCUAGAAACAAAAUAGUGAAAUACAUACAUUCACAAGCUCGGCAACUUAUAGCUUAAGCACACAAAAAAUUUAGAAGACUAUAGACCUGUGCUGUCCAAUAUGGUAGCCACCAAGUACAUGUGACUACUGAGCACUUGAAACAUAGAUAGUCUGAACUGGGAUGUGCUGUAAGUAUAAAAUAGACACCAGAUUACAAAGACACUAUACAAAAAGAAUAUAAAAAUAUCAUAUAUUUGUAUUAACUGAAUGUUGUUAUAUAUUUUAGAUUUAUUGAGUUAAAUAAAUAUAGUAUUAAAAUUAAUCUCAUCUGUUUCCUUUUUUUAACCUUUUAAAUUUGGCUACCAGAAAAUUUAAAAUUACAAUAAAAUGUGGCUCAUAAUAUUGUUCUAUUCUUAGCACUGCUUCAGAAAAUAGAAAAAGAACGCAGAAAAUUAUUAACGAUUGUGGUGAUGGUUGCAUAAUUCUGUGAAGAUACUUAAAAUUAUUGAAUUGUGUACUUUAAAUGAGUUAAUUUUAAGUUACAUUAAUUAUGUCUCAAUAAAGCUGUUAAAAGACUAGACAAAACAAAUUCACAAGUUCGAACUAAUGGACAUAGAACUGCACUUCACAUCUUUUCACACACAUGGAAUGUUUACAAAAUUUAAUCAGAAAACCAUGCCACAAAGGAGGUUUUUGAAAAUAACCAAAGAAUCCAUAACAUACAAUGUUUUCUUACCUCAACACAACUGAAUUAGAAAUCAAUAGAAAAAAAUACAUAUUUUGGAAAUGUAAAACUGUACUGAAGUAAUUCAUAAGUCACAGAACAAAUCAUAAUGAAUAUCUACGUUUCUGAGGGGGUGUUAUAAUCAGCAUGCGCCCCUUUGCCACCUGGAUUCUAAAUAACUUGAGAAAUAAGACCAUGAACUGGCCAGAAGGAGGAAGUGUUUCUCACUGGAGACAGAAACAGAACUUUCUGUACUCGUUUCAGCAACACAUAUACUAAAAUUGGAAUGAUACAGAGAAGAUUAGCAUGACCCCCGUGCAGUGCAAGAAACAGAAUUUUUUAUUGAGCAAUAGAAUUAGGUUGCCUUAGCCACUUAGAUAUAGACAAAGACAACUUUGGAAUGAAGUAGGCCUUCCCUUCACUCUGCCGCAGAAUUGCAGAACCAGCCCUAACCCUGGAGGAGCUGAAUGAACAUCUAUGUCCCAAAGUCAGGUUAAUAACAAAACAAAGAUGGUGGAGCUGAACCAAGUGUGCCCAAUUUGCCCUUCCUAAAGUGUCAGAUAAGACACUUUAUCUCCUCUAAGGUGGAAAGAGUAAAUGGGCAGAGAACAGCUAAGAGUCAUAGUAACUAGAGUUCCCCCUUCAUAUGGAUUGAAACAUUAAGAGUGAUAAAGAAACAUCCUAUAUUAAAAUGAAAAACUUUUAAAUUUAAGUCAAAUGAAAGUAAGAAUUUUCCUUAUCAAAAGUUGUGGGUUUCAGCUAAAGUUAUUGUUGUAGAAAAAUUUAUAACCUAAAUGCAUAUACUAGAAAGAAAAAAAUAAGCAUUUAGCUGAAUAAACUAGAAAAAGAAAAGCCAUACAACCCGCUGUUCUUGAGUUUCAAGGGAAGGCUUCUAGCAUUUCACCAUUUAAUAAUGUUUAUUUUAAGUUUUUAGUCUAUAUUUUUUAUCUGUAUAAGGUUAUUUACUUGUACUCCUGGUUUUCCAAGGGUAUUUUUGUUUGUUUGUUUUUUGGUUUUCUAACUUACUCUCUACUUUCUUGCUUCUAUGCUGAAACCCCAAGGGAAUCAACAACCAGACAUACAACCAGACAAGGUAGAAGAAAGAAAAUGAUAAGAACAAAAAUUCAUGAUAAAAAUAAAGAAAGUAAAGAAUUUAGCAUUAAGUUCUACUAAAAUGUAAGCUACUUAACAUCAGGGAUUUUUACCGAUUUUGUUUACUGAUGAAUCUGCAGACCCUUGAACGGUGCCUAGUUCACCAUAGGUACAGAAUAAAUAUUUAUUGAAUGAAAGCCUACUUCUUUGAAAGACUAAUAAGGCAAUAAUUUCUGACAACAUUGUGAAAGGCACAGAUGGAUAUGAAUAAAGAUAACUUAUUCCACAAAUAGUAGAAAUUCUCUUUAAAUUGUUAUUUGAGUAUAUGAAUAUUAUAAAUCACUUUAUUCCACUACACUUGAAAACAGGAAAUUUCUUAGAAAUACACUUUAGUAGGAACUGGAAAACCAUCUGAAUGUCUAUAUAACUAUGAGAAGGUCACUAGACCUAGAUGAUUUUAUAGGCAUCCUCUACAAAAAUGUCAAGUAACAGAUAACCCCAAUUUUCUUUAAAAAAAAAAAACUAUUUUAGAAAGUAAGAGAAAGCUUAGUUUUAUGAGGCUAUAAUUUUGAUUGCCUAGUUAAUUUUAAAAUUACAGUAAAAUAUACACAACAUAAACCUUACUAUCUCAACCACGUUUAAGUGUACAGUUCGAUGGCUUAAGUACAUUCAUACUGUUGUGCUACCAUCACUACCAUCCAUUCACAGCCUUCAUCUUAUUAAGCUGAAACUCUGUAUCCAUUAAACAAUAACUCCCCCUUCCUCAGUCCCCUCAGUCCCUGGCAACCACCAUUCUAGUUUCUGUCUCUAUGAAUUUGGCUACUCCAGGUACCUCGUGUAAGUAGAAUCAGUAUUUGUCCUUUUGUGACUGGCUUAUUUCACGUAGCAUAAAGUCAAGUUUCAUCUAUGUGGUAGCAUGUGUCAGAAUUUCCUUCCUUAAUAACACUGAAUAAUAUUCCAUUGUAUGCAUAUUCCACAUCUUGUUUAUCCCUUCAUCCAUCAAUGUACACUUGGGUUGCUUUCAUCAUUGGCUAUUGUAAAUAAUAUUGCUAUAAACAUGGUGUACAAAUAUCUAUUCGAGUCUUUGCUUUGAAUUCUUUUUGGUAUAU
rnacentral:lncRNA from 1 species